rnacentral:lncRNA from 1 species
AACUGUUUGCAAAUAGUACUUAUAUUAUUAGUAGGAUAGUGCUUAACAUCACAAGGAAAUAACCACAACAAUAUCACGACCCUUGUAAUUAAAAGUCUUCCUAAAUUUACAACCACUAAUCGUCGUAUUUUUCGGCAAGGGUUUUUAUAGGUCCACCUAAGAUUCGUGAAACCUUCGUGAGCAAUACUCGUGAGAUAGACCUUUUCGGCAAGGGUUUUUAUAGGUCCACCUAAGAUUCGUGAAACCUUCGUGAGCAAUACUCGUGAGAUAGACCUUU